CCUACGGGAGGCAGCAGUGGGGAAUAUUGCACAAUGGGGGAAACCCUGAUGCAGCGACGCCGCGUGAGUGAAGAAGUAAUUCGUUAUGUAAAGCUCUAUCAGCAGGGAAGAAAAUGACGGUACCUGAGGAAGAAGCCCCGGCUAACUACGUGCCCGCAGCCGCGGUAAUACGUAGGGGGCAAGCGUUAUCCGGAUUUACUGGGUGUAAAGGGAGCGUAGACGGCAGGGCAAGGAUGGCGUGAAAGGCGGGGGCUCAACCCCCGGACUGCUCUGGAAACUGUACGGCUGGAGUGCCGGAGAGGUAAGUGGAAUUCCUAGUGUAGCGGUGAAAUGCGUAGAUAUUAGGAGGAACACCAGUUGCGAAGUCGGCUUACUGGACUGUAACUGACGUUGAGGCUCGCAAGCGUGGGGAGCAAACAGGAUUAGAUACCCCUGUAGUC
rnacentral:rRNA from 1 species